rnacentral:rRNA from 1 species
AUGAUGCACUUCGCUCUCAGAGGCACCGCGGCCGUGGGGAGGAGGAAGACCGCGCACGCCCGGUCGGCGAGUCAUCCGUGCCACUGCCAGUGCCACCCCGUCCACACGCGCCUCGAUGCCGGCGUCCGCGCGCUCAGGGCAUGGUCGGCCUCCGCCGAGGACGGGCCUUCGGGGCUCGCGCACCUGGAGGCCGUCCUGGCCGUGCUCGGCGAGUUCCUUGCCCUGCCGCAGGCCGCGGCUGCCCUCCGUGACGACGCAGCCGCCUGCGACCGGUUCCUCACGCUCGCCGACGCGUACGGCUCGUUCGAGCAGGCGCUGCUCGCGCUCAAGCAGAGCGUCGCGCAGCUGCGGGCGGGCGUCCGGCUCGGGGACGGCACGAUGGUCGCCGCGUCGCUCCGGGCACGCAGGCGCGCAGAGAAGGAGCUGUGCGGCCUCGCCGCGGCGAUGCGGCACGCCUCAAGGCACGCCAUGCUGGCGCCGGCGGAUGCCGCGGACGGCGAGGUCACCGGCGUGGUGGCGGAGGCGGCCGCGGCCACGGCGUCGGCGUCGGAGGCCAUCUUCCUGUGGUGUGCGGCAAUGUCCCCGGACGUAUCGGCAGUGGUCCAGACGGUGCCCGUGAACGCAUGGCUGGCGAGGCUGCGGGUCGUGCAUGUGGCCAAGAAGGCAGUGUCACUGCCAGAGACGGCGGCGGCGUUGGAGAGGCUUGAGGAACGCAUUGGCGAGCUCGAGAGCGGGAGCGAGAAGGUGUUUAGUAGCCUGCUUCAGGCUAGAGUUUCACUGCUGAACAUCCAUAAUACCUUGUAG